AAAAGCUUGUUUUUGGUACCAAAAUGGCCGACGAAUUCAAUCAUUUUUAACAAGAUAAUAUCGGAGCUAGAGCUAUAUCUUCAAUAUUAAAAUGGCCGGCAGUUACGCAAUCGACGAGAUCAGUAAUUUCCAGCGAGGUGACACGGUCUGGUCACUUAUAAGAUUAUAAAUGGUGCCUGCCGACUUGAAAUUCACGGUUUGCUGAAAAGGGGAACCCACGGAUUAGAUCGUCCGCGGUUCCUCCGGUACGUCUCGCCCCCUACCACGCGCGAAAUUUCGCAAAAUCGUCGGAACGAGGACAUCGAGGAAAAUUCUAGACCGCUGUGAUUGCUGCCACCGGGACCUGCACAUUCCGCGACCUCAUCUGUUGCAUUCAUUCUCGCGUCGAGACUGGCUGGGUCACGCAUUGCUCACGUCCGACUAGCAACCGACGCCAUUUCCAUACUAUUCGGGACGAAACUAUCCAGGAGAACUCUUGCAAUACCCCUGCGGAACGAACCAUAUUCGACAAAAUUCGUAUUCCAAAUAUUGGAGACCUUUGGGACCAUUUCAACUUGAACGAGCAAAGGCGAUGUUAGAAAAUUGUACACGUUCGCAAUAAAAUAGAGAAAUUUGACAGUUUCACGAAGCCGCUAAUCCUGUUCCAAAGGGUAUCAGAAAGUCGUGGGUACCGAAAAUGGCGUUCGAUCGCGAGCCUUCAACGCAUCGGGUGGAAGGGACCCGCAGGAACAAAGAAAACGAAAUCGCCGAUAGGAUCAAUGGACGAGAAGGAGGAGGAGGAGGAGAGCGAGAGAGAGAGAGAGAGAGAGAAAAGGGAAGAGGCCAAGGAUGAUUCGUUCGGCGAGCAUGAAUUGUGGGGAAAGCGGAAUGAGUUAGCGUCGGGAAAGGAAGAAGGAGGAAACGAAAGCGAGCUCUCUCUCACGUUCUUACGCAGCUGAGAAGAUGCUCUCGUAAGAAAUCUUACCUGAGAAACCCUGGAAAACUAACAGCCGGGAGGGAACGAGAGGGAGAGACGUGAGAGAGUGAGAGAAAGAGAGAGAGAGAGAGAAAGAGAGAGAAUGAAAGGCAGAGAAGCGAAGAGAACGUCUGCCAGGAGGCAACUUUCACGCGGAGCGAUUUUUCGGCUUCCUGCAACGACCGCCGUAGGAUUAAGGAUGCGGUGUCCAUCAUUUUGCUAAGAAUGUUUCCCAUCCGAUUGAAAAUCGUCAACGAGCCUUUGACAAUUAGCGAACAAGUGGCCAAAUGGCUCCGCGUCGUCCGAUAUGUGAUCGCUGUUCACUAAAUUCUCAAGGAUCAACAUUUAGGACUAAAUUAUACGAUGUCCACAGUUACCAUUUUCUUAGGACGUCUCUCGGCGAAUCUCGAUCCUGUUAAUUUUAAAACAGCACAACGAACUCCGACACCGGAUGGAACCUCUUCAGGGGAAAUCAGCGUUCGUUUUUCCGAUUCGUAAACAUGGCUAAACGGUACGCGGAACGCCAGCUGGUUUGCUAGCAAGAGUAAUUGGUGACUCUUGUUUUCAUGAAAGUAAAUCCUGAAGGCUGAAGAAGCUCUCGACCUCGGGGACGUUCUUGAAGAGAGGUGGCUUGGCGACAGAAGGCGAAGAAGGCGAGAAAGCGAGAGAGAAAGAGAGAUCAUUUGACAGUCGUCCUCAUCUUGAAUAGUGGCUGUUUAAGAAUAGUGAAAGUUCCUCGGGCUUGCGUCACGACGCCUUUCCCGAAGACGACGCGGAAAUCGACGCCUUCCUCUUACACGGACGAUCGAUCUUUUCCGCGGUUAUCACUCACGUCUCCGCGUCCCACCGGCCGCCAUUUUGGUUCACGUCGAUGCUGCGCUGUCCUCCGACCAUGUCGUUGAAGACGAGUACAAGACUGGAUCAUUAUUUAAUGAGAGGAGAAUCGGAGGAUUCGCUACGGAAACGCGUGAAAUUAAAGCGAUUUCCACAGCACCGGCGUCUCCCAUCCGCGAGUACAGCGAACGCGGCUGCGUUAUAGCGGUAAUAAAGAAACAUUGAAUGCGGCUGAUUGGUAUCUACGCGCGGCGCGUGUAACGCAACGGUGACAGGUUCACGCGGACGAUGGACCAAGCUAUAUGGGGAUUCCCACAGGAUCCCAUCGCGCCGGGACACACCGCCGUUUCCUUAGCCGCAGGAUUGCACAAUACGACGUUUUACCCCGGUCUAUCUCACCGCGAGCGGAAUUUAACGAUACUAUAAACUGAACUCCGCGCCUCGAUUUUCCUUUCUAUUCGCGAAACACGUGUAACGGUGGCGGACUCAUUAAAAUAUUGCAACAAGAUGCGGUCGUAUCUGAUGGACAUGCUAAUUGCUCGCUAGGCUUCACGUCUCUCGUUUUGCAACAAUGCGCGCGUCCCCCCGGAGAAAUUGCAUUUUCACCGUCCACGGAGUUAAUGUUUCGGAAAUAAUCAGUCUAGAAUUUCUUAUCGACGAGACGCAUUGGUACUUUACGCGAAGUGAAGGAACAUUGUUGCAUAAGGCAAUUCUGAACAUCGUAGAAACAAUAUCGUGGUGAAUGUAAAAUUUAGUUGAUCGAACGGUCGAACUAAUGUUCCGGAAAAGAUGUAUUUAGGAUUCGAAAUUGGCGAACGAUUGCAAUUUAACGAACGAUUACAAUAUCGCGGCGAGUGUAAAAAGUUAAUUGAACGACCGAGCUAAUGCUCCGAAAAAGAUAUGUUUAAGAUUCUAAAUUGGCGAACGGAUUACAAUUUUCUGCUAGGUGAUGGAAUAUUAUUGCAUGGAGAAAUUAUGAGAACUGUAGAAACAAUAACGCGGUGAAUGUAAAAUUUAGUUAAUUGAACGAUCGAGCUAAUGCUCCGGAAAAGAUAUGUUUAAGAUUCUAAAUUGGCGAACGGAUUACAAUUUUCUGCUAGGUGAUGGAAUAUUAUUGCAUGGAGAAAUUAUGAAAACUGUAGAAACAAUAACGUGGUGAAUGUAAAAUUUAGUUAAUUGAACGACCGAGCUAAUGCUCCGAAAAAGAUAUGUUUAAGAUUCUAAAUUGGCGAACGGAUUACAAUUUUCUGCUAAGUGAUGGAAUAUUAUUGCAUGGAGAAAUUCUGAAAACUGUAGAAACAAUAACGCGGUGAAUGUAAAAUUUAGUUAAUUGGACGACCGAGCUAAUGCUCUGAAAAAGAUAUGUUUAUGAUUUUAAAUUGACGAACGGAUUACAAUUUUCUGCCAAUUGACGGAACAUCGAUGCACAAGGAAAUUCUGAACACUGUAGAAACGAUAUAAUAGGGAACGCAACUGUUGCAUAAAGCUAAUGUUUUGGAAGAUCUCUGUUUAGAGUUUUGUACAAGCGAAAUUAUUGCAAUUUUCUACAAAAUAAGAGAACAUUGUAGUACAAGAAAAUUAUCGUUGACCAAUUAAAAAGGAAGAGAUAUCGAGGAGAAGAAAAAUCGUAGUUUUGCAUUAAACCGGAGAAAAUAAUUAUUUAAGAAGCGUCGUUUCUAUCAGGAAGUAUCAUCGAACGGAGUCGCACAUCGCAAGUCAAACUUUCUCCCGGCGAAACACGCGAGAAGAUGCGCAAAGAGUAGAAAUCGGAAGCUGAUUGAUGUAUACUUAACGAUAUAACGUCUACCUGUUCAUUGUCGGACGAAACACGAGAGAAAAUAAUUGGUCUUGACGACGAGAAAAUAACUGCUUCUUGGAGACUGUCGUUAGCGAUAGAAUCGUUAUUAAUGCGAAGACCAGUUCUGAGACCGACUUGAAUGGAUAGCUAUCGACUAUUAAUUUGUCAGAGUCCCCCCCAAAGUGAUUAUGAAAGAGCGAGUCUUGAUAAAUGAUUGAAACUUUGAAUAUUUCAUUUCUAACAGAAUGUCUGCGAAAUUGUUGUGUCUGGUAAUUAUAUCUGAUAAGUUUAUGUAAAUAUUGUUGUGGUGAGUAGAAAUGUGAGUUUAAAGAAGUUAGUGGUACUAUCAAUGAUCUCAUGGUGAAAUUGUUUGCAAUAAGUUUUAUAAAAUAUUGUCAAAUUCAUUGACAAAUUCAUUUACAACGCAUAGGCUAAAUUAUUUUUAUUUUUAUAUUGUCAAUAGAUGCAUUUCUUGAAACAGAA